rnacentral:rRNA from 1 species
AACGAACGCUGGCGGCAGGCCUAACACAUGCAAGUCGAACGCCCCGCAAGGGGAGUGGCAGACGGGUGAGUAACGCGUGGGAACCUACCCAGUGGUACGGAACAACCCAGGGAAACUUGGGCUAAUACCGUAUACGCCCCCAGGGGGAAAGAUUUAUCGCCAUUGGACGGGCCCGCGUUGGAUUAGCUAGUUGGUGGGGUAAUGGCCUACCAAGGCAACGAUCCAUAGCUGGUCUGAGAGGAUGAUCAGCCACACUGGGACUGAGACACGGCCCAGACUCCUACGGGAGGCAGCAGUGGGGAAUCUUGGACAAUGGGCGCAAGCCUGAUCCUGCCAUGCCGCGUGGGUGAAGAAGGCCCUAGGGUUGUAAAGCUCUUUCGGCGGGGACGAUAAUGACGGUACCCGCAGAAGAAGCCCCGGCUAACUCCGUGCCAGCCGCCGCCGUAACAC